GUGCCAGCAGCCGCGGUAAUACGGAGGGUGCAAACGUUGCUCGGAAUCACUGGGCGUAAAGGGUGCGUAGGCGGCCCUGUAAGUCAGAUGUGAAAGCCCUUGGCUCAACCGAGGAAUUGCAUUUGAUACUGCAGGGCUUGAGUUCGGUAGAGGGAAGCGGAAUUCCUGGUGUAGCGGUGAAAUGCGUUGAUAUCAGGAGGAACACCGGUGGCGAAGGCGGCUUCCUGGGCCGACACUGACGCUGAGGCACGAAAGCGUUGGGUAGCAAACAGGAUUAGAUACCCUGGUAGUCCACGCCCUAAACGAUGAGUACUAGACGUCGGGAUCCUUGAGAUUUCGGUGUCGUAGCUAACGCGUUAAGUACUCCGCCUGGGGACUACGGCCGCAAGGCUAAAACUCAAAUGAAUUGGCGGGG
rnacentral:rRNA from 1 species